rnacentral:rRNA from 1 species
AUUGAACGCUGGCGGCAUGCCUUACACAUGCAAGUCGAACGGUAGAGGGGCAACCCUCGAGAGUGGCGAACGGGUGAGUAAUGCAUCGGAACGUGCCCAGUAGUGGGGGAUAGCCCGGCGAAAGCCGGAUUAAUACCGCAUACGACCUACGGGUGAAAGGGGGGGAUCGCAAGACCUCUCGCUAUUGGAGCGGCCGAUGUCAGAUUAGGUAGUUGGUGGGGUAAAGGCCUACCAAGCCGACGAUCUGUAGCUGGUCUGAGAGGACGACCAGCCACACUGGGACCGAGACACGGCCCAGACUCCUACGGGAGGCAGCAGUGGGGAAUUUUGGACAAUGGGCGAAAGCCUGAUCCAGCCAUGCCGCGUGCGGGAAGAAGGCCUUCGGGUUGUAAACCGCUUUUGUCAGGGAAGAAAUCUUCUGGGUUAAUACCUCGGGAGGAUGACGGUACCUGAAGAAUAAGCACCGGCUAACUACGUGCCAGCCGCCGCGGUAAUAC